rnacentral:lncRNA from 1 species
AUGAGAAAUAUCUAAGCGACAUAUUGCGAAACAAACAUUUAUCGCAAGAACAAAAGUUGGCGGAAAAAAAAAAUAAUAAUAAUAAUAAUAAUAAUAAAUAUAAAGCAAUUGUUUCAAAAACAAUUGUUAGGCAGUCUUUCCCCUAUGAUGAAUGGAUAAUUGAUUUUUUUUAUUGAUUGAUUUGGAAAAAGGGGGGGGGGUAUUUGUUUAUUUGUUUGUUUGUUUGCUUUGGUAUGGGGUCUUUAUUAUUAUGUUACCGGAGAAGUUUCAUGUUUAGUUUGGAAAGUUUUUCUUUUAUUUUAGAUACAGCGCGCGCGCAAGAUUGAGGAGACAUCACGUGAUGCGGGUUUAUAUUAAGAAAAACUUGGAUUUUUU